rnacentral:rRNA from 1 species
AUUGAACGCUGGCGGCAUGCCUUACACAUGCAAGUCGAACGGUAACAGGUUAAGCUGACGAGUGGCGAACGGGUGAGUAAUGUAUCGGAACGUGCCCAGUCGUGGGGGAUAACUGCUCGAAAGAGCAGCUAAUACCGCAUACGACCUGAGGGUGAAAGCGGGGGAUCGCAAGACCUCGCGCGAUUGGAGCGGCCGAUAUCAGAUUAGGUAGUUGGUGGGGUAAAGGCCUACCAAGCCUACGAUCUGUAGCUGGUCUGAGAGGACGACCAGCCACACUGGGCCUGAGACACGGCCCAGACUCCUGCGGGAGGCAGCAGUGGGGAAGUUUGGACAAUGGACGCAAGUCUGAUCCAGCCAUGCCGCGUGCGGGAAGAAGGCCUUCGGGUUGUAAACCGCUUUUGUCAGGGAAGAAAAGGUUCUGGUUAAUACCUGGGACUCAUGACGGUACCUGAAGAAUAAGCACCGGCUAACUACGUGCCAGCCGCCGCAGUAACAC